GAAAACCAACACAAGCUCAAGAUGUAGCAUAUUACUAGUACCAAGCAUGACUUACGAACAUGAUACUAGCAAGUAGCACAAUAUAUCACGAUGCAACAUAAGAUAGCAGGAAUGUGGACACGAGUCCACGAGUAAAAUUGAAACAACGGCAGUAGCAACAAACAAGCAGGCAGAUAACGACAAAAUUUUAUUAAAUAUUCAAGUUGAAAACCAAGGCUACUUCAUUACUAUCAUGCAAGUGGCUGUUGUGGCUUGCCCGGGGGUGACGGAGACUCCAGGAAGAAGUGCGGUGAAGCCACGGAAACAGAACACCGGACGGUUCUCUCUCGAAGGGGGCUGAUAAGGGCAAUGGCAAACUGGUCAUUUUCACUGUGGGACCACUAGUGAAAAUGGAACCAAGAGAAAGAGCUCGACAAUACGAAGAUGAUAGCGUUGGUUUCACAUCGAUCGGAGUUACGGUCAUCCAGAUACGAAGAGAAGAAGUGGAGGGACCAAACUGUAAAAAGAAUAUUCACAAACAAGUCCCUGAUUGGAUAAGGCAGAGGCGCAGAAUCAAAAAUACGCUUUCUUAACAGGAAAACGUACUUCGGGCCGAAGCAGAAGGAAAUACGCUUUCCAAUCAAGAAAACGUACUUAUGGAAGACAGAGGAAGAAACUACGCUUUCAGAAUGAGAAAAUGUAUUGGAGUAGAAUACGCUUUUGGUCAAAUGUAAACGGACUAACCCGGGAGCAUUUCCACUUGCCAUGUCAGCGGCGCGCCUGGGCCACUGACGGGCCGGGCCCAGCGGCAGGGGAGGGGGCACGGGCGCACGUCGUCUUCCUCCCCGCGCCCGCCCUGUUCUUCGCGUGAAGCGGAGGCAGAGCAGGGGAGGGGCGACGAGGGGACCGGCCACCUCCGGCCAAAGCGAGGCCACCGGAG
rnacentral:lncRNA from 1 species